UCUGUUUACUAUAAGCGUCCCUCUGCCUCUGCCUCUAAAUAUCAAAUGCUCUCCCACUUCCUUAUCUUUAUCAUUCUUCACUUAGUAAUCUUGUUUUCCCUUUCAAUCUUUGCUCCCAAAAUCAAGCUUUUUCCGUUAUUUAUAUUGCUUGGGGAAGGAGAAAUGGAGGAGUCUAACAAUUAUGGCCACCAACAUCCCCUGCUUCUUAUCUUGAAUCAAGACCAGCUGAUCCACAAUCAAAGUGGUGUAACUCAUUGCUCCAGGUGCGGGGAGGAGGUGUCUGCUCCAUGUUUCUGCUGUGUGGAGCACUGUGGGUUUUAUCUUCACAAGGUACGUGCCAACGCACCUUUGAAGCUUAAUCAUCCUUUUCAUCCUCAUCAUCCUCUUGUUCUUCUGCAAGAACAACCAUAUUCUGACACAGGGUGUGUUUGCGAUUUUUGUGAUAAAACAUGUACGCAAUUCAUUUAUCAAUGCUCUUGCAAAUUGGACUUUCAUAUUAAAUGUGCUUUGUUAACAUUUAAUAUUGCUGAGAAUAAUUUGAAAGAGCUUGAGCAUGUUGCCCUUCAAGAUGAAGAACUUAAAGAUGAUAGUAAGUGCUUUGGGUGUUGGGAACCAUUAGCAAAGUAUACACACUUUUCUCCCGACUGUGGAUUUAAUUUACAUGACAAAUGCACCGAGCUUCCUUUCAAACUGAAUCUUGAGUGCCAUCGCGAACAUCCUCUUGUUCUACAAUUUAAUAGCCAACGGCUCUCUUGCAAGAUAUGCUGCCUGGUGAGAACGCGAAGAGGAUUUGUUUAUGGUUGUUCUCCUUGUAAGUUUGGUGUUCACAUUGAAUGUGCAUCGCAAUCACCAUUGCAAGUUAUUAAGAGUACAAAUCAUGAACAUCCAUUUACCUUGUUUAACGGGCACCAACAUCCCCUGUUUCUUAUGUUGAAUCAAGAGCAGCUGAUGGAUAAUCAAAGGGGUGUAACUGAUUGCUCGAGAUGUGGGGAGAAGGUGUCUGCUCCAUGUUUUUGCUGUGCGGAGCACUGUGGGUUUUAUCUUCAUAAGGUAUGUGCUGAGGCACCUUUGGAGCUUAAUCAACCUUUUCAUCUCAACCAUCCUCUUCUUAUGCAAAAUGCACCUUAUUCAUCUGGAAUGUACAUUUGCAAUUUUUGCAAUAAAUCUGGUCACAAGUCUGUUUAUCGCUGCUCUUCUUGUGAAUUGGACUUCCAUAUUAAAUGUGCUUUGUUUACAUUUAAUAUUGCUGAGAAUAAUUUGAAAGAGCUUGACCAUGUUGCCCUUCAAGAUGAAGAACUUGCAGAUGAUAGUAAGUGCUUUGGGUGUUGGGAACCAUUAAGUGCUUUGGGUGCCGGGAACCAUUAGCAAAUUAUACACACUUUUCUCCUUGCCGUGGAUUUAACUUACAUGAGAAAUUGUGUGCCANNNNNNNNNNNNNNNNNNNNNNNNNNNNNNNNNNNNNNNNNNNNNNNNNNNNNNNNNNNNNNNNNNNNNNNNNNNNNNNNNNNNNNNNNNNNNNNNNNNNNNNNNNNNNNNNNNNNNNNNNNNNNNNNNNNNNNNNNNNNNNNNNNNNNNNNNNNNNNNNNNNNNNNNNNNNNNNNNNNNNNNNNNNNNNNNNNNNNNNNNNNNNNNNNNNNNNNNNNNNNNNNNNNNNNNNNNNNNNNNNNNNNNNNNNNNNNNNNNNNNNNNNNNNNNNNNNNNNNNNNNNNNNNNNNNNNNNNNNNNNNNNNNNNNNNNNNNNNNNNNNNNNNNNNNNNNNNNNNNNNNNNNNNNNNNNNNNNNNNNNNNNNNNNNNNNNNNNNNNNNNNNNNNNNNNNNNNNNNNNNNNNNNNNNNNNNNNNNNNNNNNNNNNNNNNNNNNNNNNNNNNNNNNNNNNNNNNNNNNNNNNNNNNNNNNNNNNNNNNNNNNNNNNNNNNNNNNNNNNNNNNNNNNNNNNNNNNNNNNNNNNNNNNNNNNNNNNNNNNNNNNNNNNNNNNNNNNNNNNNNNNNNNNNNNNNNNNNNNNNNNNNNNNNNNNNNNNNNNNNNNNNNNNNNNNNNNNNNNNNNNNNNNNNNNNNNNNNNNNNNNNNNNNNNNNNNNNNNNNNNNNNNNNNNNNNNNNNNNNNNNNNNNNNNNNNNNNNNNNNNCUCCUUGCCGUGGAUUUAACUUACAUGAGAAAUGCACUGAGAUUCCUUUCAAAUUGAAGCAUGUGUGUCAUCGCAAGCAUCCUCUUGUCCUACAAUUUAAUAGCGAACGGCUCUCUUGCAAGAUAUGCUGCCAGGUAACAAUGCGAAGAGGAUUUGUUUAUGGAUGUUCUCCUUGUAAGUUUGUUGUUCACAUUGACUGUGCAUCACAAUCACCAUUACAAGUUAUUAAGAGUACAAAUCAUGAACAUCCAUUCACCUUGUUGGUGAGUCAAGUUCCAUUCACAUGUGAUGGGUGUGGCACUGGAGGAAAUCAUGUUGCCUAUAGAUGUGGUACAUGCAACAUUAUAAUCCAUAAAAAUUGCAUUUCAUUGCCUCGCAUUAUCAAAAGUAAGUGGCAUGACCAUCGCCUUCUUCACACAUAUUUCCAUUACAUAGAAGAUUUUAGGGUUUUGAAUUGCCUAAUAUGCCAUGAUGAAGUCAACACAGAGCAUGGUAGUUACUAUUGUUCAAAGUGCAACGGUAUAUUCCAUGUGAAGUGUGUAAUGAAGGAUAAAGAUUCAUAUGAAAUAGUAGAAAAUGAAGAUGAGAUUGAGAUGCCCAUUGAAAGUUCCAUCAUUGUUAUUGAGAGCAACGAUGCUGGAGAAGCUACAAAAAUAAAUCAUUUCAAGCAUAUGCAUAAUCUAAUGUUAGGUCCCUUUGUUGGAGGAUAUGAAAAUAGUUGCGACGGGUGUAUGUUGCCAAUCUCGGAUCCGUUUUACUACUGUUCAGAAUGUGCUUUUUUUCUUCAUAAAGCGUGUGCCGAGUUACCUAAGAUGAAGAAUGUUUGGCAUCAUGAUUGCAAAGAGCCCCUAGCCCUUAUUUCUGACAAAGCUUUUCUGUGUCGACGAUGUUUGUACGUAACUAAUGCCUUUGCUUAUGAAUGUUGUGGAUGUGAGGGAAAAAUAUGUCUCCGAUGUGUGAUUGCUCUUACUCCUGGUGCUCGAACAUGUUUGAAACAUGAACACCCCCUCUUUUACUACCCAAAGCACAAUGGGAAAUGCAAUGCUUGUGGUACGACUACACAGGCGGCAUUCUGUUGUAAGGAUUGCAAUAUUGUGCUACAUCUUCGUUGUUUUUCACUUCCAAUUACAGCGCGUCACAAAUGCGAUGAGCAUCUUCUUUCACUCACUGAUUAUGAUGAUAACAGUUAUUCAGAACAUCAUCACUGUGAUAUCUGUGAAGAAAGUCGAGAUCCAAACCGUUGGUUUUAUAAUUGUUCAACAUGUGAUACUUCUGCUCAUGUUAAUUGUGUUCUUGGACCAUAUCCAUUCCUCAAACUCGGGAGCAUUCAUGAAGGAAAUGAUCAUCCACACCCACUCACCAUUGUGAAGAAGAAGUAUUACUACCCAGAUUGUGAGAAAUGCGGUGAGCCUUGUGUAGAUGUGGCUCUUGAAUGCUCAAAGUCGGAGUGCAAAUAUAUUGUCCACUGGAAUUGUGUAACACCCGUUCAUCCAUGGAGUUUUUGGGCGUGGUACAGGAGGUAAUUCAGAUGUAAUCAUAUUUGAAAUCUGCCACUUCAUUUGCAGGAAAACUCAAGACUGGAAAACAGGGUUUGAUCUUUGCCUUGUUACUUGUGAUAUUAGUUAUUGUUGUAACUGUAAUUUGGUUUUCUCGACUUUUUAAGUUAUAAAUAAAUGUCAUGUAAAAAUCUGAGCUGAAACUUGUGAGGUUUGAUUGUUGAUUUUAGAAUUACUUGUGAGGUUUGCCGAAACGUUGCUAGAUGCUUCUCUUUGUUUUUAUAUAUAAGCUUUUUCUGAAAUUACUUAGCUCAAUGUAUUAGAUAAAGUAAGAAGGAGCUGUCUCCUUCAAAAAACCAAACAUGUCUUUUAAUGAUAUAUUUCGCAUACUAAAAUUUUAUUGCGCAAUUUAUGAAGCUUCAUCGUAACUUAACCCUAUUAUUGCCUAAGCAAAUAAUUUUGAAAACAAAAGAUUCAACAGCCUAAACUGAAAUUACUACAGUCCCAAAUAAAAUUGAAGGAUUAGCUUUUUUUUUUCCCCAUAAAAACUAUAUAUUAAGACAAAAAGGAAAAUGCAAAGUCGAGAAAGGUCAUCAUCCACACAAUUUCACAACAGCUCAAACCAGUAAUCAAUGGAAGGAGUGAUUAUGGCCCAAACACUGCAACAGCUUAACCAAGAAUGACAAUAAACAUGGAUACCAUCUGCCAGCUUCUACUUUGAGAUUCCAAUCCCCACACCUAAUGUUUUAGCUAUUUUCCCAUCUCUUUUUUACUCUCUUAUAUCACAACCUUGUAUCUAAUUUCCUUACUGUCUUGUCUGGGAUGGUGUUGGAGUUUUAGAGAAGUUGAGAGAACAAAAUACAGAGAAAACAAAGAACAAUACUUAUCAGAAUUUAUUUUUUUUUUGACUGCUAUCAAAUUUUCUCAUAUGCUUUUACUAGAGUUUUGAAAAUCUAGAAAUAGAUAAGAGAAUCGAGUUUUACUAGAUGUUGAGGCCUAUUUUCACAUUUUUGAUUCAGCUGCUCCUAUGCUACUUGAAAAAAUGUUUCGUUUGUCUCUCACGAUACAACAACAAGAUCAUCGAAGCAGUAGCACCUCUAUAGUGAUCAACGAACAAACCUUGACUUCUUCUAUCACUGAAACAUUUAAAAAUUUGGAGUGAAAAAGAAAGAAUGUUGAGAGUGAAAUAAAUUUGUUGUGUGUCUAAAGAAUUCUAAAUAUACAAAUCUGCAUUAAAGGAGUCUUUUGUCCUUUUAAAGGAGAUUUAUACGUCAAGCAAGUACGCACCCAACCCCAGUGAAUUUGGAUUCGCACCCUUGCUAUGCAUGAGGGAGAAUAUUAAUUUAGCGCUUUAAUAAUUACUAAAUUGGCUUACAUAUAUAUACAAGUUUCACACUUGAGUUCCAAUCAAUGUGAGACUAAUACUUUUCAUUUUCCUCAACAUAAUUUACAAAUAGUUUACAUUGAGCAUAAAUUUCGUAUCCAUCACUUAAACAUUUUGAGUAUAUAAUAUAUCGUUAUAAAGGUAUCAUGAAGUAGAAUAUAAAACCAUAAUUUUAUGAUUCAACUCUCCAUUUUUAUCAAUCGUUAAUAUGCCUCAAAGUUUUCAAAAAUUACAUUUUUUUCCAACACACUUCAGCGAAAGGAACCAGAGGACAGUCGAUACGAAGUUGUUACCCAAAUUAGAUGAACAGUAUGCCAACGGAUCGGAGAUUGCUGGAGAUGUUUUAUAUCGUAGGAUUCUACCGCAUGUGGCUGCAGUGCAAAGGAAUCAAUGGAGUUUUUGGGUAAUGGGGGUUACCAUGUUUAAACAUUUGACAGUCCUUUAAAAUAAGUCAAAUCCCUAUCCUAUUUGUAAAGGAUGUUAUGUUAAAAACAUUUUUCCAGGCUUCUUUAUUUACUGGCAUCAUCAUCACCUACCCCUAGGAGAUCAAUGUUGUUGCUUGUUUUCAGAUUGCAAAUCAAAGCUAACCUCUCAAACUUACAGAAUUCAAUGUUUUUUACAACAAAAAGAAAUUGGAUCAAAACUCUAUCCUUCCAUCCAAUUUCAAUACAAUUCGGUUUAUAUAAGUAAGCUUCAAUACAAGCUUAAUGUAACUUCACCAACUCCGAUUACAACUCGUUGAUUUUUAUCAACUAGUACUUGGAAACUGAAAUUGAAAAAGUAACAGCACUGUCCAUUAUUAUUGAAUCCAAACUAAUUAAUUCUGUCCAUUUUAUAAUGUAUGAUCUUCUCUGUUUGCACCGUCCAGUAACUUAAAUAAAAACUUUCGAAUAGUUCAAUGAACAUUUUAUAACUGUAGUUGAAUGAAUCCGUAACUUAUAGCGCCUGGAGUGUAUGGGCCGAAGAUUUCUGAACUUCGGCCCGUCAUCAAAAGACGCAUAUAAGGAUCACAUGGUAAGUAAAGAUUCUUCACGAGAAUGUCUUUGGAAUCUCCGGUGACCUUCAGUUUUAGAUUCUCGUCGACGAUGACCACCAUGUCUGAUUCUUUUGGAAACCCGGAAACAUAAUCCUUGAAUAUCACCUUUUUGUUGCUCACCACUGCAUUUCUCACUACCAUCCGCCAUUGUUGUUUUGCUUGGUGCUUUUGUUUUUUUCUCUAUGGUGAAGAUCACGUUCUGAAAUAAGCUGAACUUCUCUCUAUUAUCAGGUGGGUCUAAAAUUGGCCAAAUUGUGGUUUUGGUCCUUCUAUUAUUUUCAAUUUUGAAAAUUAAUCUAUGUAUUUUAAUUUGGUAUAAUUUAAUCUUCGUAAUCUUAUUAGUUAGUUAAAAUAGUUAACUAUAUACUAUUGGUCUCUGUACUUUCGUGCUGUUUGAACUUUGAAAUUUCAAUCCUAAUCAAAAUGGUAUUUACUAAAUUAUGAUAUUUUCUAAAGUUUAUAUGGCAAACAUAUUAUCAAAUGUGUAAUGUAAUGUAGUUUGUUAUUUGCACAAAAUAAAAAAAAAUCUUAUUAUUUUUAAUCGUUCUAGCAGAAUUUAACCUAACUAUUCUAAUUAAAAUGCAGAUUUGAUUUUUUCUUAAAAAUAUCCCUUGAAAAAAAUCAUGUUGAAGGAUGAAUUGGAAUAAAUAUUUUUUUAGAAAAAUCCUCACCAAUAUUUUAAUAAAAAUAUUACUAUUAGAUUAACUAGUGACAUUAUAAAUAUAGAUGACUAUAUUAUGAAAAAUUAAAAUAUGAAAAAUAAAUCUCAUAUUUGAUUAUAAGAUAGGGACUAAAAUCAGAAUUUUACCUUUUAAAUUUCCAUUUUAGUUUGAUUGCGUAUACCGUUUGUAUUGUGAGGCUGAAAACUUGAAAAGGAUAUUUAAAGUCCAAUCAAUUUCGACCGUACAAUCUUUUUUUUCAAGAAACUCGUUUAAAAUCAAUAUCCAAUGCGUACACGUAGCUAGAGGUGUCCGCUCGAAGCAUGAGAGGAUUCGGGUAAAAAUAUAGGACCGAAAUAUAGGUUUGGGUAAAAAAACGGAGUCCGUUUAGAAAAUGGGCCAGGCCUCGGGCACUACUUUUUUGGCCCGGGCAGAAUAUAAUAAAUAUAUAUUUUUAUUUUUUUAAUUUUAAAAUAUUUUUAAAAUAUUUUUAAAAUACUUUUUUUGUUUUUUAUUUUAAAAAUAAUUUUUUGGUGUUUUAUUAAAAAAAUAGGCCGGGCCGAGACCGGACUUAGGAAUUUUUACCCGGGCCAAGCCUGGACAAAAUUUCAGACCCAUAUUUCGGGCCAGGCCGGGCUGGGCUCGAGCCUAGGACACGGGCCAAAAUUUUGGCCCAGCCCAUGAGCACCUCCACACGUAACCAACCUAAUAUGAUAAUCGUUUGGGUAAAUUAUUAUCAUUUUUUGAUCAAUGGGAUAAUUACAAAUAAAUAAAUAUUAUAAAUAUUAUAAAUAAAUAUUAUAUAAAUAUUUAUAUUUAUGUAGAAAACAAUAGAUUUAAACAAAAUAAAUUAAAUAAAUAUUUAUAUCUAUUUAAAACAUUAAAUCUGGAAAAACAAUUAAGAGAAUCGAGUUUUACUAGAUCUUGAGGUCUGUUUUCACAGUUUCUUUAGGAUAAAUUCGGCCACUCAUAUGCUACUUGAAGAAACGUUGAUCGUAUGUCUCCUAAGAUACAACAACAAAAUGAUCGCGAUAGUAGUACCAAUGCAAUGAUCAAGAACAAACAUUGUCUUCUUCUAUUAUCGAAACGUUUGAAAAUUUGGAGGAAAAAAUUCGUUGUGUCUUUAAAAAAUUUUGCUGUAUUUUUAAGUUUUUAUAGGCAUUAAGUAUGGAGGAAUUUUAGAAAUUUCUAUAAAUAAAUAUAUAAAUUUGCAUUAAAGGAGCCUUUAGAUCAAUUUGAUUGGAAUCAAAUCAAAUCGAGAUAUUUAUCUUUAUAUAUAAUUGUUUCUAUUAUUGGUUAAAUUAUUUGACAGAGAAGAGCUUUUAGGAAUGAUUUUGAACCCAUUCUUAGUGCACAUUUAAAUUAAUAAUUUAGUUGUCAAAUAAAUUGGUGGUUCAUUUGUCAUUUAUGCUCUGUAAUUGUCUCUUCCGCCUUCGUUUCGAUUAUAAACAAAUAACCCUUUGAUCCUUCCUUAAAACGAAGUUUAAAGGAAUGUAAAAUACAAAGUAGGAGUGAAUGUGAUAUAUCUAUUUUUUUUUUUAUGUUGUUUCACCAGAAAAUGAAGAUGAAAAGUGUCUUGAUAUAUCUUUGAACUCCAUCACUAAUGUUCUAGAGAGGAAUGAUGCAGGAGAAGCCACAAUAAUAGAGCACUUCAAGCAUAUGGUGAUAAAUGUUGUGAUGGGUGCAUGUUGCUAAUCUCGGCUUCAUUCUACUAUUGCUUUCAGUGUCAAUUCUUUCUUCAUAAAGCUUGUGCUGAACUACCAAAGAUGAAGCCUGUUUGGCAUCAUGGAUGCCAAAUUAGAAACUUCAGACAACAUUUUCAAAUGUGAAAUUUGUUGUUUCCUUUCUAAUGGCUUUGCCUACAAAUGUCCCGAUGCUCUAACAUGUCCAGGACAUGAACAUCCCCUUCUUUUCUAUUAUGAUUUUUACGGGCAGUGUUGUGCUUGUGGUGAGGAUAUAAAAGUGGCAUUCAACUGCAAGGAUUGCAAUUAUUCUGUAGAUCCUUACUGUAUGCUACUACUACCUAGAGCCAGACACAAAUGUUAUGAGCAUCUUCUUGCACUCAGUUAUCACGAGAUAAAUGAUUAUUCAGAACAUCAUUACUGUAACAUUUGUGAGCGAAAAAGAGAUCCGAAGAGCUGGUUUUAUCAUUGCACAACUUGUGACACAGCAUCAAAGAAGGGGAUCAUCCGCACCCUCUCACAUUUGUGAAGAAGAUAAAUUACUACCCUGAAUGCACUAAAUGUGGAGAACCCUGUGAAGAGCUCGCUCUUGAAUGUGCGGAACAAGAGUGCAACUAUCUCGUUCACUGGAAAUGUGUGAAACCAUAUGGCUCUGUAUAUGCAUGCUUGAUAGGUAGAGACUUUUAAUUAACAUUUUAGUCGUAAGUUGAAAUAAUGUAAUUUAGCCAAUUGAUUGGGUUGAAACUUGUGUGGUUUGAAUUGCUUAUGGUUGUGUAGUUACUUUAAAUUUUUUAAAUUUUAAAUUAAUAAAAGUGGAAUUAUACUUUGGUUCCCUAAUAAUAAUAAAAAUUUGAUUUAAUCAUUUAAAAGCCAUAAUGAUAUAGACUAUUCAAAUAGUGAAAUUACAUUUUUACUAUCGUAAAAAAUUAAAUUUAAUUUCUGAUCCUCUAAAAGGAAAUUCUGCCUUUGCCCCUGGUCCUUGGUGAACACUUCCAUUCCUCAAACUCGGGAGUCUCAUUGAAGCACAUUACAUUCAUGAGCACCCUAUCAUUGUUGUUAAGAAAAUUUAUUACUAUCCAAAUUGUAGUAAAUGUGGUAAGCCCUAUUUGGAUUUGGCUGUCGAAUGUACUAGAUGCAACUUCAUUGUCCAUGAUAACAAGUUCUCUUCUUCAGAUUGGGAGGACUAAGGUGGCGCUGUGGUGACUAUACUCCAGAAUCACCACUUUUCUUUGCCGGAGAACACAGAGUAAUGCUGAUUGUAUUUAUUAUCCAAACUAGGUUUCCUAUUUGAAGUUGAAAUGUAAGGGAAGCAUGUUUUAAGUUGGAAAAGAAAUUCAAAUCUCAGAAUCGGCAAACAUGAAAAUGUUAUUUACAAAUAUUGGGCCGUGGGUUCUGGGAGCCCACUUGUUUAUGUGUGCCCUGCUCUUUAUGUUUUAGGGGCAGCAAACUAUCAGCGACCCUCUGCCUCUGCCUCUUCCUGAGUCAUUAUCUGUCUUCACUUGUAUUAUUGUUUUCCCAUUGACACUUUGCUCCCAAAAUCAAGCUUUUUCCUUUAUUUAUAUUGCUUGGGGAAGCAAAAAUGGUGGGGUCUAACAAUUAUGGCCACCAACAUCCCCUGCUUCUUAUCUUGAAUGAAGAUCAGCAGCUGAAUGUAGCUAAGUGCUCAAGGUGUCGCGAGAAGGUGUCAACUCCAUGUUUUAGCUGUGCCCAGGAUUGUGGGUUUUACCUUCACAAGGUAUGUGCUGAGGCGCCUUUGGAGCUUAAUCACCCUUUUCAUUCUGAUCAUCCUCUUCUUCUUAUGCAAAAUGCACCUUAUCCUGGAGGGUACAUGUGCAAUUUUUGCAGUAAAUUGGGUAAUGAAUUUGUUUAUCACUGCUCUUGCGAAUUGGACUUUCAUAUUAAAUGUGCUUUGUUUACAUUUAAUAUUGCUGAGAAUAAUUUGAAAGAGCUUGAGCAUGUUGCCCUUCAAGAUGAAGAACUUGAAGAUGAUAGUAAGUGCUUUGGGUGUUGGGAACCAUUAGCAAAGUAUACACACUUUUCUCCUGACUGUGGAUUUAAUUUACAUGACAAAUGCGCUGAGCUUCCCUUCAAACUGAAUCUUGAGUGCCAUCGCGAACAUCCUCUUGUUCUACAAUUUAAUAGCCAACGGCUCUCUUGCAAGAUAUGCAGAAAAAGCAAUCAACAAGCUCUAGGAUUUUUUUAUGGUUGUUCUCCUUGUGAGUUUGUUGUUCACAUUGAAUGUGCAUCACAAUCACCAUUACAAGUUAUUAAGAGUACAAGUCAUGAACAUCCAUUUACCUUGUUUAACGGGCACCAACAUCCCCUGUUUCUUAUGUUGAAUCAAGAGCAGCUGAUGGAUAAUCAAAGGGGUGUAACUGAUUGCUCGAGAUGUGGGGAGAAGGCGUCUGCUCCAUGUUUUUGCUGUGCGGAGCACUGUGGGUUUUAUCUUCAUAAGGUAUGUGCCGAGGCACCUUUGGAGCUUAAUCAUCCUUUUCAUCUCAACCAUCCUCUUCUUAUGCAAAAUGCACCGUAUUCAUCUGGAAUGUACAUUUGCAAUUUUUGCAAUAAAUCUGGUCACAAGUCUGUUUAUCGCUGCUCUUCUUGUGAAUUGGACUUUCAUAUUAAAUGUGCUUUGUUUACAUUUAAUAUUGCUGAGAAUAAUUUGAAAGAGCUUGAGCAUGUUGCCCUUCAACAUCCAUUGAUUCCCACUGAAAAUGGUGGUGAAAAACUUAAAGAUGUUUCUAAGUGCUUUGGGUGCCGGGAACCAUUAGCAAAUUAUACACACUUUUCUCCUUGCCGUGGGUUUAACUUACAUGAGAAAUGCACUGAGAUUCCUUUCAAAUUGAAGCAUGUGUGUCAUCGUAAGCAUCCUCUUGUCCUACAAUUUAAUAGCGAACGGCUCUCUUGCAAGAUAUGCUGCCAGGUAACAAGGCGAAGAGGAUUUGUUUAUGGAUGUUCUCCUUGUAAGUUUGUUGUUCACAUUGAAUGUGCAUCACAAUCACCAUUACAAGUUAUUAAGAGUACAAAUCAUGAACAUCCAUUCACCUUGUCGUUGAGACAAGUUCCAUUCACAUGUGAUGGGUGUGGCACUGAAGGAAAUCAUGUUGCCUAUACAUGUGGUACAUGCAACAUUACAAUCCAUAAAAAUUGCAUUUCAUUGCCUCGCAUUAUCAAAAGUAAGUGGCAUGACCAUCGCCUUGUUCACACAUAUUUCCAUCACAUAGAAGAUUUUAGGGUUUUGAAUUGCCUAAUAUGCCAUGAUGAAGUCAAUACAGAGCAUGGUAGUUACUAUUGUUCAAAGUGCAACGGUAUAUUCCAUGUGAAGUGUGUAAUGAAGGAUAAAGAUUCAUAUGAAAUAGUAGAAAAUGAAGAUGAGAUUGAGAUGCCCAUUGAAAGUUCCAUCAUUGUUAUUGAGAGCAACGAUGCUGGAGAAGCUACAAAAAUAAAUCAUUUCAAGCAUAUGCAUAAUCUAAUGUUAGGUCCCUUUGUUGGAGGAUAUGAAAAUAGUUGCGACGGGUGUAUGUUGCCAAUCUCGGAUCCGUUUUACUACUGUUCAGAAUGUGCUUUUUUUCUUCAUAAAGCGUGUGCCGAGUUACCUAAGAUGAAGAAUGUUUGGUAUCAUGAUUGCAAAGAGCCUCUAGCCCUUAUUUCUGACAAAGCUUUUUAUUGUCGACGAUGUUGGGGCAUAUCUAAUGCCUUUGGUUAUGAAUGUUGUGGAUGUGAGGAAAAAAUAUGUCUCCGAUGUGUGAUUGCUCUUACUCCUGGUGCUCGAACUUGUUUGAAACAUGAACACCCCAUCUUUUACUACACAAAGCACAAUGGGAAAUGCAAUGCUUGUGGUAGGACUACACAGUCGGCAUUCUGUUGUAAGGAUUGCAAUUUUGUGCUACAUCUUCGUUGUUUUUCACUUCCAAUUAUAGCUCGUCACAAAUGCGAUGAGCAUCUUCUUUCACUCACUGAUCAUGAUGAUAACUGUUAUUCAGAAAAUCAUUAUUGUGAUAUCUGUGAAGAAAGUCGAGAUCCAAAUCAUUGGUUUUAUAAUUGUUCAACAUGUGAUACUUCUGCUCAUGUUAAUUGUGUUCUUGGACCAUAUCCAUUCCUCAAACUCGGGAGCAUUCAUGAAGGAAAUGAUCAUCCACACCCACUCACCAUUGUGAAGAAGAAGUAUUACUACCCAGAUUGUGAUAAAUGUGGUAGGGCUUGUGUAGAUGUGGCUCUUGAAUGCUCAAAGUCGGAGUGCAAAUAUAUUGUCCACUGGGAUUGUGUGGUACCCUAUAGUCUACGGAGUUUUUGGGGGCUGUUCGAGUAGUAAUUCAGAUGUAAUCAUAUUUGAAAUCUGCCACUUCAUUUGCAGGAAAACUCAAGAAUGGAAAACAGGGUUUGAUCUUUGUCAUGUUACUUGUGAUAGUAGUUAUUGUUGUAACUGUAAUUUGGUUUUUUCGACUUUUUAAGUUAUAAAUAAAUGUCAUGUAAAAAUCUGAGCUGAAACUUGUGAGGUUUGAUUGUUGAUUUUAGAAUUUCUUAUAAUUUGGGAGUGUGAUUGUGCGUCUGUAACAGAUAAACUGAAAUUACUACAGUUCCAAAUAAAAUUGAAGGAUUAGUGUAUUCUUUUUUCCAUAAAAAAUAUAUAUUAAGACAAAAAAGAAAAUGCAAAGCCGAGAAAGGUCAUCAUCCACACAAUUUCACAACAGCUCAAACCAGUAAUCAAUGGAAGGAGUGAUUAUGGCCCAAACACUGCAAUAGCUUAACCAAGAAUGACAAUAAACAUGGAUCCCAUCUGCCCGCUUCGACUUUGGGAUUCAACAUGUGAUACUUCUGCUCAUGUUUGUUGUGUUCUUGGAAAUUAUUUAUUCCUCAAACUCAAGAGCCUUUAUGAAGAAAAUGAUCAUCCACACCCACUCACCAUUGUGAAGAAGAAGUAUUACUACUCAGAUUGUGAUAAAUGCGGUGAGCCUUGUGUAGAUGUGGCUCUUGAAUGCUCAAAGUCGGAGUGCAAAUAUAUUGUCCACUGGUAUUGUGUAACACCUGUUCAUCUACGGAGUUAUUGGGCGUGGUACAAGUGGUAAUUCAGAUGUAAUCAUAUUUGAAAUCUGCCACUUCAUUUGCAGGAAAACUCAAGGCUGGAAAACAGGGCUACUUGUGAUAUUAGUUAUUGUUGCAACUGUAAUUUGGUUUUUCUGACUUUUUAAGUUUUAAAUAAAUGUCAUGUAAAAAUCUGGAGCUGAAAGUUGUGAGGUUUGACUAUUGAUUGUACUUUUUAAGUUUUAGAAUUUCUUGGUUUCCUUAUAUAAGCUUUUUCUGAAAUUAUUUCUCUGUUGCUGCAAUAAAAUUAGGUUUAACGUUUAGCUCAAUGUAUUAGAUAAAGUAAGAAGGACCUGUCGCCUUCAAAAAACCAAACAUGUCUUUUAAUGAUAUAUUUCGCAUAUUAAAAUAUUAUUGCAGAAAUUGAUUAAAAAACUGAUUAAACAAACUUUGGGAUUCCAUUCCCCACACCUAAUGUUUUAGCUAUUUUUCCAUCUCUUUUUCACUCUCUUAUAUCACAACCUCGUAUCUAAUUUCCUUGCUUGUCUUGUCUUGUCUGGGAUGGGGUUGGAGUUUAGAGAAGUUGAGAGAACAAAAUACAGAGAAAACAAAGAAAAAUACUCAGCAGAAAUUUUUUGACUGCUAUCAAAUUUUCAUUCAACAAGAAAUACAAUAUAUAUACACGGGUGUAGUGGUUACAAGAAAGUCAACAAACCUCACUAAUACACUUUGAAAAUACAAAUACAUAGCUUGUACAUAAACAUCAAAUCAUCACUAAUUCUGCUUAUCUAACAAGUGACCUUAGCAAGCAGACUAAUACAAAAAUCAUCAGCAGCAUAUGCGAACCUUUCUUCAAAUACAUCAAGUGGUUCGCCAACAACACAUAAGCCCACACUCUGAUGAGCUCGCUACUAGACUGAGCUUGCAGCUUUGGUGGAGCUUGCAGCUUUGGUGAGCUCACAAUUUCAUAGGAAGAGUUCGCCACUACAGAAAUGACCACUUCGCAACACUCCUCCUUGGCCAUAAUGCUGUGAACUCCAAUAUCUUAUCUUAGCCUCUAUAACCUCAUUCUUCCAAGAGGUUUUGUGAGAAUAUUAGCAAGUUGGACAUAUGAACUACAAUGAACCAGUUUCACCUCAUUCGAUUGCUCAACUUCUCUAGAAAGUCCUAGGUCUUAGGUAACAUUACUUGUAGGUCGUAGGACUUUUAUAGUAAGUGCAUUGGGCUCAUCGAGUUCCCAACAAAAACCAAGACAGCAAAGAAAUCUAACAGGCCUGGUCACAGAUGAGCUAUAGUGAUAAUUGAUUUAAUGUUGAUCCUACUAAUAUGAAUCCAUAUCCGACUAACCUAGUUUGACCAUAAAAAUUAACAAUUUAAAUCAGAAAUAACAAUAACACAAAAAGAUUUAAACCAGUCCGAAUCCCAAACCCAAGAUUCUUCAAAUUCUCAAAAUUAAAAUAUUCGAAUUAUUUUGAUUCGGGUUAGUUUCACGUUCAAAUCAAUUUUAAUUUCAGAUCAUUUCAAAAUUGAUCAUUUUAGACUAAUAUUGAAUGGUGUUGGGUUAUUUUUUUAGUCAAAUCGGGUUUUGAAAUUUUUGAAUCAUUUUGGUUCGGGUUAGUUUCAAGUUCAAAUCAUUUUAGGUUCAAGUCAUUGGUCUCGGAUAAUUCCGGGCUCAUAUUGAACGAUGUUGGAUAACUUUUUAGUCAAAUCGAGAUUAAAAUUUCUAAAUCAUUUUGGUUCAGGUUAGGUUCAAGUUAGUUUCAGGUUCAAAUCAAUUUCGGAUUUGAUCAUUUUGGGCUCAUAUUGAAUGGUGUUGGAUUAUCUUUUUUUGUCAAAUCAGGUUUUAAAUUUUCCAGAUCAUUUUGAUUCCAGUUAGUUUCAAGUUUAAAUCAAUUUUGAUUUCAGAUUUGAUCAUUUCAAGUUCAUAUAGAAUGGUGUUGGAUUAUUUUUUAAUCAAAUCGGGUUUUAAGAUUUUCAGAUCAUUUUCGUUCGAGUUAAUUCCCGGUUCAAAUCAAAUUCGAUUUCAGUUCAUUUUGAGCUCAUAUUUAACCGUGUUGGAUUAAUUUUUUUAAUCAAAUCAAACCAUAUAUAAUUUGUAUUCAAUUUGAUAAAAUCGAAUUUUUAAAUUCAAAUCAAAUUUAACCUAUCACACCAAUCACAAUUUUUUUAAAAAUAAAUAACUGAACCGAAUUGAAAUCAACCCCAAAUAUCUCUCCUAUAAAUUACUAGCCACUUUGUAAAUCUAGAUCUCUCUCCAUAGUAUUCAUUACCAAGGAAAAUGGCGACGGGUGGCAUGGAUGAAGCAAGCAACAUGAAGGUGGUACUGAAACACUAUGUAUCUGGUUCACCACAAGAAACCGAUAUGCAUUUGACAGCCGGAACCAUCAAACUCAAAGUACCAAAGGAUUCUAAUUCCAUCAUCCUCAAGAAUCUUUAUCUCUCAUGCGAUCCCUACAUGAUCUUCAAAAUGAUGAAGCUCGAACGACAAUUAACAGAUCCUUACGUCCUCGGUUCGGUAAUUUUAUUCACUUCCUUUCAUCUUCAUCAUCGUUAUCGUAAUCAAGUUUUAUUGUGUUUUGAUAUGCUUUUUUGUUUACCGUAUUGAAAAAAUCAAAAAUUUGAUAUUUGAAUUUCAACAUCCGUUAAAAUGAACCAUUGGAUGAUCUUAAAAAAGUGAAAUGUGAUUUGAUUUUUGUUUGAAUUUAGCCUACAAAUUCUCAACUACAUUAUCAAAGAUCCGAGAUUGUUUCAGUAAGUGUAGAAACUAAUUAAGCCUCAUAAAUUUCUAUCACCUUUUCAUUAUUAGCGAUGGAUAUUUAUAACAUUGCGUCGAGUAUCGAUUAUUUGGAAUAUAGAAAAUAAAUGCUGGAAGAGCUUUCAGAAUAAUUUAGAGUCCAAUGAGGGGGCACGCAGGGGCUCUCCCAUCCCUAAAAUAAGAAAUUGUUGCUUUAGACUCCUCAAAUUUAUAAAAUCGUAAGUUAAUAUAUAGUUUGGCCCUCCAAAAAUGCUAGAAUUUUGGUUUAUUUCUAUGUGAAACUUCAUUUUAACUCUUAUAAAUAUAUUUAACUUAACUUCGGCCUCUUAAAGCAGACACUAAUUAAAUUACUUUUAGACUCCUUGGAAAUUUAUAAAAUUAUAAAUUAAUAUAGUGAUAAUUUUAUCUUUUAACAGCAACGUGACUAGCACAACUCGAACCGAAGACACACCUGGGACGAUGAACACUUUAUCCAUCAGGCCAACACACAAUAUUCUUUUUACACUAGGUUCUUUAAUUUCAUUGCAAUAAGUGAACCAAAUAAUAACACUUCAUCAAAUUUUUUUAAAAUUAAAUUUAUUUAACUUCAUUUUUAAUGAUAUGUAAUCAUCGAUAGCGCCGGUAUGCAUAUUAUUAGUAAUUUGGAUACACAGACUAAUUUUAGCUCGAAUUUGCAGCCUAUAACUGGAUAUGGAGUGGCAAAAGUUUUGGAUUCAGCACAUCCUGGCUUUGCAAAGGAUGAUUUGGUGUGGGGAAUAACUGGUUGGGAAGAGUAUAGUCUAAUUUCAGACCCUAAAAAUUUCUUUAAAAUCCAACACACCGAUGUACCUCUUUCCUACUAUGCUGGAAUUCUUGGUAACUAUCAAUUCUCUUCUAUCUUAGGUUAAGGUUGUUCGGGAUUGAAUUGUUCUCUUCUAUCUAUAUACGUGUUAUAAUGUCAUUAGUUAGUCAAAAUACUUAAAAUCAUUAAUUGUUCAUGUUAAAUCGUUGAUAUUGAUUUUUCCUUAACAAUAAUCCUUCCAACAAAUAAAAGGUUCACGAUAGUAUGAUGAGUUGGAGGGGGUGUUUUUAAGAAGAGAAAAAGCCAUGUCAGCAACAUUUUAAUCAGAAUAGAUAAGUAUUUGACCUAAUCAAUGACACCAAAAAAUAGAAAUGCUAAACUGUGUUAAAUUAAAGUAUGAGGGUUAAAUUUACAAUUUGAGCAUAGUAGAAGGAUCAAAACCAUAAUUUGACCCAAAUCAUGGAAUGAAAUGGUUAAAUUCUACUAUUAGUCCCUAUACUUUGUUAAAGUUAUGAAUUUACUCCUUAUAUACUUUUAUUUGAUCAAUUUUAGUUCCAAUGCUUUUCAAAUUUGAAACUUUAGUCUUGACCCAAACAAUAGUAGUUAAAUUCGUUUAGUUAAAUUCAAUUACUAGUUCUAUACUAUAUGUGUGCAGUUGUAGAUUUAGUUCAUUUUUUCUAAUUGGAUCAUUCCAAGUCUAUAUAUUUUUCGAAUUUGAAAUUUCAAUCUUGACACAAAUGACAAUCAUUAAUCUAUUAACUAGAUUUUUAGUGAGUAAUAUUUGAAAAUAAUAAGCUGAUAUAGCAUUACACAUAUGAUAAUAAGUUUGGUACAUCAGAUUUUAAAAAUAGCAGAACUUAAUAAAAAAAUGUAACCAAAGGAAAUCUAAGAACAUAUAAGAACAAAUGCAUAAAAUAGGGAAUUGAUAUAUAAUAAAAUAUGUUACUUAGACUCCAUGUGAGUGUUGAAUACGGUUAUGUAAUAUCGAUAAUAAAUGUAAGACGGUUAAUAGGUAUGCCUGGGAUAACAGCAUAUAUUGGUUUCUAUGAGCUUUGUGCUCCAAAGAAAGGAGACUAUGUGUUUGUUUCAGCAGCAUGUGGUGCAGUUGGUCAGCUAGUGGGGCAAUUUGCCAAGCUCCAUGGUUGCCAUGUUGUUGGAAGUGCUGGUAGCCCAGAGAAGGUAGGCCCUUUGCAUGCUAUUCCUAUUCUUUUUAGGGCUAAUAUACUAUUUGAAUAAAAGCAUUGACUAGCUAAUUGAGUUUACCUCUGUUUAGGGUUUAGAGGAAGGAGAAAUGGAGGAGUCCAACAAUUAUGGCCACCAACAUCCCCUGCUUCUUAUCUUGAAUCAAGACCAGCUGAUCCACAAUCAAAGUGGUGUAACUCAUUGCUCCAGGUGCGGGGAGGAGGUGUCUGCUCCAUGUUUUUGCUGUGUGGAGCACUGUGGGUUUUAUCUUCACAAGGCAUGUGCCGACGCACCUUUGGAGCUUAAUCAUCCUUUUCAUCCCCAUCAUCCUCUUGUUCUUCUGCAAGAGCCACCAUCUUCUUACUCAGGGUGUGUUUGCGAUUUCUGUGAUGAACCAUGUACGAAUUUCAUUUAUCACUGCUCUUGCGCAUUGGACUUUCAUAUUAAAUGUGCUUUGUUAAUAUUUAAUAUUGCUGAGAAUAAUUUGAAAGAGCUUGAGCAUGUUGCCCUUCAAGAUGAAGAACUUGCAGAUGAAAAUAAGUGCUUUGGGUGUUGGGAACCAUUAGCAAAGUAUACACACUUUUCUCCCGACUGUGGAUUUAAUUUACAUGACAAAUGCGCCGAGCUUCCUUUCAAACUGAAUCUUGAGUGCCAUCGCGAACAUCCUCUUGUUCUACAAUUUAAUAGCGAAAGGCUCUCUUGCAAGAUAUGCUGCCUGGUGAGAACGCGAAGAGGAUUUGUUUAUGGUUGUUCUCCUUGUGAGUUUGUUGUUCACAUUGAAUGUGUAUCGCAAUCACCAUUACAAGUUAUUAAGAGUACAAAUCAUGAACAUCCAUUUACCUUGUUUAACGGGCACCAACAUCCCCUGUUUCUUAUGUUGAAUCAAGAGCAGCUGAUGGAUAAUCAAAGGGGUGUAACUGAUUGCUGGAGGUGUGGGGAGAAGGUGUCUGCUCCAUGUUUUUGCUGUGCGGAGCACUGUGGGUUUUAGCUUCAUAAGGUAUGUGCCGAGGCACCUUUGGAGCUUAAUCACCCUUUUCAUCUCAACCAUCCUCUUCUUAUGCAAAAUGCACCUUAUUCAUCCGGAAUGUACAUUUGCAAUUUUUGCAAUAAAUCUGGUCACAAGUCUGUUUAUCGCUGCUCUUCUUGUGAAUUGGACUUUCAUAUUAAAUGUGCUUUGUUUACAUUUAAUAUUGCUGAGAAUAAUUUGAAAGAGCUUGA
rnacentral:lncRNA from 1 species